rnacentral:lncRNA from 1 species
AAUUAGUCUGCCAUUUACUUAGAAAUAUUCAAAAAUGUAUCGUUUUUUUAUGUAAAGGGCAGAAUCAUAUAUAAGGGUAAUUCAUAUUUUACAAGCCACUUCGAUAUAGCAUUUGCAGAAGCUCUACAUUACUCAAACCAAAAAUGUUCAAUUUUGUAUUCACUUUUACUACAGUUUUAGCUGGAAUAUCAUUUUCAGUUGCUGUGCCUGUUGCUGAUCCUAAUUUACCCGCUUUGGAACCUGGACCAGUGAAAAUAUCAACUCUACCAGCUUUGGAACCUGGUCCAGUGAAAAUAUGUGAGUACACAGAUUGAUAAUUCAAAUCUUUUAAAUUAAUAUUUCAAAGAUUUUUAGAUACCCCUUUUAAUGAAUGAGUAAAAUCAAGAAAGAAGUUAAACAUAAAUCUAUCUGUAUCUAUUAUAUAUUAUCUAUAAUCUAUUAUAUUAUUCUCUAUCUGUAUAUAUUAUUGAAAUUAAAGAGUUAGUCUAAACAUUUGUUAACUGAUCUUAUUAUUUUCCUUUUUUAUGUAGCAACUUUACCAGGUAAUUGCAUGGUUUUAAGAGUACGAAAAAUUUGUUUCGACUGUCAAAUUUAAAACUUUUAAUAUCAAAUAUUAUUCUGUCACGUUAUUUGAGGUUAUUAACUAAAUAAUAUUAAUAUUCUAUGCCAAUUGUACAAAAUAUGGUAAAAUUAUUUAUAAUCUUUAGAUAUUGAUUGUGACUUAUUUAACCACAUGAUUUAUAAAUAAUAACCAAGUAACAUUAAUUUUGGCACUAAUUCUGUAUUAUUUAACUAAUCAUGUAACAUACCAAAUAUGUAAAAUAUUUAGUACUGAUUAUUAAGCGUCUAAAGAGCGGCUUAAGACUCUAAGUAGGUUUUUUGUGUUACAAAAUAUUAUAAAAACGAUAAACUAUAAUAGCGUGUCCAUUUUAUUCGUUAACGUUUGAUUAAAUUCAUGAUGCCGGGUUUAAUGUUAAUUAUAAUUAUUUAUAAUUAAUAUUAAACCAGGUUUAAUAUUAAUUUAAAUUAUGAAUUUCUUUAGUCAUUCUGGAAGAGGGAAAAAAUUUCGUGUAACUUCCAUCAAUAUCAUUAAAAAAUAAUAGGUUUCUUUUUGUUCCUACUAAAUUUAAUUGGAAAUUCAUUGUUAUCAUUCUUAAUACAAAUUAAAUAUAUUACAAAUGAAAUUAUUUUUAUAAAUAUUUUAGAUAUUUAUCAUGAAAUAGUAUUAUAGAAAAGGUGUAAUAAUUAUUUUGUUUUGAAUCUUGAUUUAUUUUAUAGCCGUAAUUCCAAAAUCUGGAUCUUCUGAAGAAGGUAAAUA